ensembl:lncRNA
CCUGUAGUUGGGUUAGUCAACUGAACUGCCUGUUGUUGGGUUAGCCUACUGAACUGACAGGUUGGUUUGACUACUGAACUGACUGAGGUGGGUUUGACUACUGAACUGACUGAGGUGGGUUUGACUACUGAACUGACUGAGGUGGGUUUGACUACUGAACUGACAGGUUGGUUUGACUACUGAACUGACAGGUGAGUUUGUCGACAACACACCUUUGAUUGAAUCCCAGACUUUGUGUGCUUGAACUGAAUAAUGACGUACAGUACUAUACCUAUCGACACAUAAGCAUUUAUUUUAUUCAUCAUUUAUUGCAGCACACAAAAUAACAUUUUUUUUUUCUCUUUUUUUUUCUUCUUUCAAACCAAAUUCCAACAUACACAUACCAAUAACUGACAGACGCAGACAAACAACGACUAUAUCUCCUCUGCCCAGACCUGCCUGGUCACUCCUCCAUCUCUAGUACCUGUCUGGUCACUCCUCCAUCCCUACUGUGGUACCUCCAUGGUCACUCCUCCAUCCCUACUGUAGUACCUCCCUGGUCACUCCUCCAUCCCUACUGUGGUACCUCCCUGGUCACUCCUCCAUCCCUAGUACCUCCCUGGUCACUCCUCCAUCCCUACUGUAGUACCUCCCUGGUUACUCCUCCAUCCCUAGUACCUGCCUGGUCACUCCUCCAUCUCUAGUACCUGCCUGGUCACUCCUCCAUCCCUAGUACCUGCCUGGUCACUCCUCCAUCCCUAGUACCUGCCUGGUCACUCCUCCAUCCCUAGUA